CCGCUCCCGCUUCUCCCACCACACUUCCCUGCAAGCUGAGAGAAGCGGCUCUGGCCUUGGGCAGCCCAGAAAGGGGCUCCCUCAGUGCAGCGGUGGGCUGAAGGGCUCCUCAAGUGCCGCCAAAGUGGGAGCCCAGGCAGAGGAGGCGCCCAGAGCGAGCGAGGGCUGUGAGGACUGCCAGCACGCUGUCACCUCUCAGAACUAUUUACUCAGAAUGAGUGAAGAGACAGUCUUGCUCUGUUGCCCAGGCCGGAGUGGAGUGGCACAGUCAUAAUUCCCUGUACCCUUGAAAUCCUGAGCUCAAGCCAUCUCCAUACCUUAGCCUCCCAAGUGGCUACUACAGGACUGACUGAUAGUAUUUUCCUUUGGAAGAUCCUUUUAUAUUCUGUCUCUAUGAAAGAAGUGUUUUCAAUGAAAUAAGGCUGCUAUGAAGAAAUACCCAAGACUGGGUACUUUCUCAACUUUCAAAUUGAGCUGUUCAGAAUGUGUGAAACAAUUUUAAGAUGAAGUCAAAGAUACUUGAAGCAGAAGCUGUAUCUGAGGAAGCUGUAUAUAAACCCAAUUUAAAGCAAGUUUAACCUGCUGAUUGGGAAGAAUUUUUAUGAAAAGCUGUGUGCUUCCUGAUAAGAAAAAAGGCUUUCCUGUUUCGAUCAAACCAGAACCAGAUGAGAACUCAGCACAGGCACUGCAGCCACGGAGGUUUCCAGAUAGAAAAAUUGACACCCCUGAGAUCCCAUAACAUUUUGGGGACUCAUCUGGGAUCUGCGGAAGGAGCUUGACUCUUUUCAUUGGCAAUAAAUGGCGCCCCAACAUGGGGACUCAGAGAAGACUCAGGAGCCCCAAGCAGUUGUCCGAAAUCAGAGCUAAGGUACCAGCCAGGGUUAAUUGAAGACUCACCAAGUUCAAGCUUCUCCUUUGGUGGAACUGCUGAGAUUGAAGAACACUUGAAAAUUAUCAAGAAUGUACUGCGGAGUAUUGAAAUUGCAAGUUAUCAUCAAAGGAAGCUUACUCUUAUUUGUGGAAAACAAACACAGAAAAAAGAAGAAGGAAGGAAGGAAGGAAUCAUACCUUCCCUGUUUCAAAUAACAAGCAUCAAGCAUCGUGAUAAUGUGGACACUAAGGAGCAACAAUUUCUCUAAAGAUAAGAAUAAAGAUAGACUUUUAGACUACGAGAUGGGCCUGAAAAAAUAUCUGAUCAAGCUACUCAGUUUUACAGAUGAAGAAGGUGAAGCCUGGGAAAACCUAAAGAACCUAUAUAAGGUUCUCAGAUAGACACCAUGUUAUCUGCUUGAAUGAAGAAAAUUUGGUAACAUGUUUGCUGAUCUUAAUCUACUAUACAUUUUUUUAGCUUGUCAACUUGAACAAGUUUCUCAAUUAUUUCCUCAUCUAUUUUUUCUGAUAAACUUAACCAAAUCUUGUAAAAUGAAUGUUUUGAAAACGUAUAUCUUAAAGGAGCAUUUUCUAAUUUAAUAUUGAUGUUUUAUUAUUUAUUGAAUCAAGGAAGUUAUGCAUAUUUUGCAUAAAUAUGUGCUACCUUAUGUAUGAUAAUAUUUUUCUCCACAGUCACAUAUUAAUCUGUCCUGACAUUUUUCUAUAAUAAACAUCAUUAUCUGAGACAGAAAUGACAGGAAAAAUUUAUCCAUUUUAAUGAUAUCUAAUUAAAAUUUGUGUCUAACCUUAAUUGAAAUAUAUAUAUAUAUUUCAGUUAGUAAAAAAGGAAAGUCAAUUGAUGAUGCAUUAAGUGUCAGCAUUAUUACAUAGAGAUUGGAAGACAUUAGGUACAAAUGUGAAUCUGCAAGAGUACCAUUUGUAUAUUGCUAAUUACUUGAUACUGUGUCUUUUUAAGAAAGCUGUUACUCUUUAUUCACUCUAGAGCAUUUCAGACAAUUAAUUAGGCAUUCAUUAAUAGAUGAUUAAACAUUUUGUCUCUACAUUGCUUGAAAGGAGUUGUAAAUUACAUCUUGCCCAUGUUGCUAAUUUGCUGUCCAGCAAACAGACUUGCCUGUGGAAAUUUUGUAAAUCAAGCUUAUGAUAUAUUGGCCAUAGAUUGUUUGUCUUCCAAUUCCUCUUAGCUGUUGAUAAUGCAAAUCAAGCCACAUGAAUGAUAACCUGAUAGAAGACACUGCUUUGAAAAGCUAUACUCACAUUAAUACAAACUGUUCAGAAUUGUUAUGUGGAACAUUUCUCUCUAUAAUUGAGAAGAUAAACAUGGCAAAUAAUAUGCUGCUUCAUCAAGUUUUGCAUGUGAAUCAUUCCCAAAGUGAACUUUGAAAAGAGCUCCAUAAAUUCCAUCAGAAAACAAUGAAAUAUAAAACAUCACAGUCCUUUACCAUAGCUAAGCCAGCAAAUAAAUAUCAGGUAUAAAAACUCAUAUUGAUAAAAACCAAACUUUACUUAACGUUACAGAAGUCCAAAUGAUUUUAUCAAGAUAAUAUGUGAUUUAAUAUGUGAAUCUAUAAUAAAGAAUUCUGAGGCUGAGUGUGGUGGCUCAUGUCUGUAAUCCCAGCUCUUUGGGAGACCAAGGCGGGUGGAUCGCCUGACAUUAGGAGUUCGAGACCAACCUGGCCAACAUGGCCAGACCCCAUCUCUACUAAGAAUACAAAAAUUAGCCAGGUUUGGUGGCUCAUGCCUGUAAUCCCAGUUACUCAGGAGGCUGAAGCAUGAGAACUGCUGGAACCUGGAGGCUGCAGUAAGCUGAGAUCGUGCCAUUGCACUCCAGCCUGGGUGACAGAGCAAGACUCAGUCUCAGAAAAAAUAAAUAAAUAAAAAUAAAAAAUAAAAAAAUAAAAUAAAAUUAUGGUCACACAAGUUUCUAGAAAACCAACUUAUUUCUGAGAUAGCCCAGAGGUGACAUACACUGACUAACCCACUGAGAGUAUGUUUUAUUCUUUGCUGAACUACUAGAACCUAGACUAGAGCCUCACAUGCAAAAAGCAUUCAGUAAAAAUUGUGUUUACAGAAAAUUACUAUAGGACAAUAAUUAUGUCUUAUAAGUGGGUUUGUUUAAAGGGUUUAUCAUUUAUUCUAAGUCACACAUUUUACUCAGAAAUACUAGCUUUGUCCUGGAAAGUUCAAUUAAAUAGAGAAAAGGAACAAGAACAUACAUUCAAGCCAAAAUAAGCAAAGCUUUGCCUCAAGAAGGGUUGAUGGAAAAAACAGAAAACAGAAAGCACUACAGUUUAAUGAGUUACAGACUGCUCAGCAGAAAAGACAACAUAGACAUAUAAUACAGGUCUUUCUGCUAAUAUAUUCCUUUCUUUGCUUAAAACUAAGUACAGAUAUUACUUUGGAACCCUUUGAAUGUGGGAAAUUAGUUUCCUCCUCAGCAUUGUCCUCUACUACUUUUCGGAGUAUAAUGUGUAUGACAUUCUCUCAGUAAAAUUUUGAUACACUUGAUAGUUGAAGGUUAAAGAAGAGUAGAAAUCAUCUUAACACCUUACUAAUGGGAAAUUUUUUCAUAGGAAUACACAUAAUUUCCAGAAAGUUACCUUUUUAUAGAGGGCAUCAUGCAUAAUAACACCUUUUGGCUCAAAAUAGAAAUUAUUUUUAAGCUUAUACUUUUGCCAUACGUUAGAGCAACUACUGAUUUAGAUUGUUCUGUUUUACUGUUCUAGAAUCAUUCCACACUUGCCUCUUGGCAUCCAUAAUCAGAAAAGUAAAUCAAGAAAUAAACUAUAAACUGAUCAAUGUUUUAUUAUUUUCCUUAUAGCCUUUUAUUUUACCAUGAGGAGUUUCUGUAUGUAAGGCACUUUAGAAUAUGAAUGAUUUUCAUGGCAUACACAUAAGGGACUAUUAAAAACAACUGACAUGUUUUUGGUAAAGUAUUUGACUGUUUAUUCUUCAUGUAACUGAAAAUAUUCAGCAUUGAAAGAGUUUGCAUUUCAUGAUGGCUACAAAGUUGAAAUUUACAUUCUGGUUUCUUAAAGGCAGGAACUACAUUCUGCAAAGGGCAAAUUUCAAAAGACAAAACUUAAUCCUUAUACUAGCAAAAGUUUGAUUAGAUAAGUUCUACAUACUUAGCUGCUUAUAUAAAUACAGGUGGCUGAGGCUGAAAAUGAAUGCCCCAGGAAGAAGUAAAUCAAUUUUACAAAAAUUAUCAAAUGGCAUAAUGAUGGGCACACAAUGCCCUCCACCCACAGCUGUUCUUGCAUUUCUAACAUAAAAGGCAGCACAAGACAGAAGGGAAACACUGACAAAUAGAUUGGUUCUGCCAUUUCCUUAGCAUUAUGUGCCCUGUCACUUUUUGAAUUUCUUAGAUAAGAUGCAAUUUCUCUUUAGUUUUUAAUGCCCUUUUAGAUAUUUUUUGUUACAGGAUUCGUUACCAUGAAUCCAAGGGACUUUAUUUUGGCACUUUGACAGAAAGGAUUGGACUGCUUAAACAAGAACUAAUAAAUAGCUUCCAUUUCCUACAUGAAAAAAGUAAUACAUGUUUAUGCUGUUUCCUGGAUUGCACAUGUAACUGGCAGCAAGAAACACCCUCGGAAUAGUAAUCAUAAAAUAUCCUUGUUUAUUCCAAAGCAUAACUAUAGAAAUGUGUGACAAUCUGAAUUUCUUUUGUAUGCCAAAAUAUGCUGAGAAAGUACUAAUGAAUGCUGUGCCAUUCUAAUUUUGUAUUAAUGAAAUAAUUUAUUAUUUUUUCAGUUUUAAUUAAAAUUGGCUUUGCAUCAAACUGUGCUUAUCACAUUGAUCACAUGAUAAAAAGGGAAUUUUGUCAUUUAUCAAUAAAAAUGAUUAUGUGUAUUAUCU
rnacentral:lncRNA from 1 species